AGGAUUCUGCCUGAGGCCAUCAAUUUGCCAUAUCGAGGCCAGUGGAAAGAGUUUGGGAUUUCUAUUUAAAGGGCCAAGACUUGGAGGCAAACACUCAAACUCAAAUCCUGUACAUGGACUUCCCCCUCGGAGCCUCAGUUUCCCCACAUGUGAUUAUUGGGGAGGGAAAAUGUUUCUUCUCCCUUUCUAGGUUCUUCUAGCUGGUCUAGAAAUUAUGACAUGAGAUAGAUUAACAGGAGAAAAUCAAAUUUUAAUUUUGUACGUACGGGAGUUUACAGAAGUGUGAGACUCAAAGAAAGUGACCAAAGCAGGCAGCUUUUACACCUUUUAAACAAAGAAACAGUACAUUUGUGGAGAGCUGACAAGACAAAGAAACUUGGGCUUGGGUACUAAUUAGUGAAGGAUCUAAGCAGAGUGUGUUUACACAGCCUUCUCGGCUCCGAAUUCCCUAUCUCUGGUGAUAAGGAUGUCUGUCUACCUUUUGGUGCAGGGAGGGUACCUUUCACAUGGGAGAUUUACUUUCUGUCUUUAGGAGACAAAGAGGUGGUCAGGGUCUUGUGCUGGCUGUUCCUUGAGUAGCUCUAAUUCAAACUAAUAAAUAUGCCACUUUGGCAUAUUUUGGGAUGGCCGUCCCUUAGUCCCAACAGUUGCCUCCUCUAAAACCUCCCUGGAAGUUUUACAUGUUAAAAGCUGAGCUGGGGGCUGUGGAGAGAAGAAUCAGGUUAGUAGCUGAGUGGUAUAUCGUUCCGUACCUCACUGAACCAGUUUCCCAGACCUGAGAAUAGUUCAGUUUAGUUAGACUCGUUUCAGGACAUAGUGGUCAAGGUGGGCUCCCAAAGUUAGAUGUAUGCUUUAUUGCAUACGCAAUCAGGUACUUAAUAAGACCCAUUUCUAUGGAAACAAAAGAAGAACAAUGGUUCAUUAUCAGAGCAAGUUAUAAGCCAGUAUUUGAGUUCAGAGGGUAAUCAGUCAACAAAAUUUCUAAAUGUAAGACUUGAAGCAUCUUUUGAUGGGAGUGAGGGCAAGCUGUGGUCAUCUAUUAGAUUCUGUUAGUUCAUAGUUUGAAUGUCUCCAGUGAUGUUUUCUUUUCUUUUCUGAGUGGCCAUAAGGUAACAGGCACAAAGAUUAUCUAUACAUGAGCAGUUGUGGUGAUUUCUCUGAAGUUUAUAUUAAGUUGUCUGACUUUAGUUUACAUGGUUUCAGAAAAAGAGCAGUUUCAGUUCUCAGUGAUUUUGAGUUAGACAUGUGGGAGGAAAAUUGGAAGCUUUAGAGAGCUGCAGCCAGAUAUUGGAGGAACCUAGAAGAAGUUAGGGCCAGUUCCGUUUACAAAUAGAUAACAAACCUCAAAGACAAUUAACAGAAUCAGAAUCUGAUAUCCACCAAGGUGUAUUAUUGAAACAUAAUUUUUCUGUCUAAAAUUACCCCCAUGUUUACCAAAGAUAACCACAUUAAAACUAAUUGGUUUGCAAAAUGAGUCCAGUUUUAAUGAACGUAGCUUGAUUAUUUCCAUAAGUACAGCAAGAACAGUGAUUGACAGAAUAGGCUCUUUUAAGUCUGCUUUGCUUGAACUUUCGGCAAGGAGUCUUAGAUUGAAGUUUCAAAUGCCACUUGAGGCCAGGAAGGCAAGUCAAAUACUUGCCAUUAGACUUGUCUGCAAAACUUAUAGUUUUGGGUGAAUUUCUCUUUUCUUAAGAUUCCUCAAAUAUCCUGAUGUUUUUGUAUCUGCCAGGAAGUGAUCUUCCUUACUCACCUGGCUGCUGGGAACCCUAUAAGCAAGUCUCAGGCGACUGUGAGCUGUGUUUACAUUUCAAAGACAUGAUAAGGUUUUCAGUGUAAAGGAUCCAUCAUCUGGCCAUCGACAAGGAGGAUCUUAUUAGCAACUCAGACUGAUAAGCCUUUUUAGCUUAAGCAAGGAUGCAAGAGCAGUCCCAUAAGAAAGUGCAGCCCUCUCAAGAUUCAGAAAAUUCACUCUCAGAGAUAGUCUAAGAAGGCAAAGGCCCUCAUUGCACAGAUGGUAAGGAUGGUGUAGUGAAAAUGGUGUCUCCUGUCUCUCCUGGAAACAUGAUAUGUCUUCAGCUACAAACCCACUCAUCUGUGACACUGCGCAGGUUCUACUGGAAUGAGAUUUUUCCAGCACUAACAAAGUCACACAAGUUGAGAUGACAAAGGCUUCUUAUGGACUGGGAGCCCUUAUGACAACUCCCCUGACACCUGGCACAGCUGGACAGAGAGUGCUGCUUGUGCCUUCAGGUCUUGAAAUCUCAGUCUAUUUAGAUGGCAGAGACCAGAAAGAAUAUCCCCACUGGUCACAAAGCAAAUCUCAGGACACAGAACAAGAAGAAAAGAAAAACCUCAUUCAGUUUUUACAUAGGGGUAGUUUUAGAUAAACAGCAGAGUUUGGCUAAACAGACCCCAGUUUGAUGAGAACUCUGGACUCACCAGUCUGUAAGUAGCUUAUAGGGUCUAUGUCACCUUCUGCCAUAGGACUUAUGACAAACAACACAACAGAGAUAAAGAAGACUUGUCGCCAUUUCUGGGAGGAGAAAGAUCAAUAAAAAUCAAGGGCACUCAUUACCAAGUUUUUGUGAGUUGCUAUGUUGCAAGGAACUAGUACCUCAAGUAUUUUCUCCUGAUAAUCUAAAUUGAGAAAAAGAAAAGGACUCUCAUCACUCUCACUUGCAACAGAUCCUGCAGGCAGGAGGUUGGCCUGGUAGCAAUUCUUACCUUCUGCCGACAUUUGUCAGAGGUCCCAGCAUCUCUUAGCUGCUGCAAGUUCAGAGUGAGCAUCGUCCAGCCAGGAAAGUUUAUCCUAUUGACUACGUCAACUGUUGAGGAGGAAAAAAAAAAUUUCCUCUCCUUUUCUAGGCCCUUCUAGCUGGUCUAGUAAUUAAAUCGACAUAUAGAUUAACAGGAGAAAAUCAAAUUUUAAUUAUGUAAUAAGAGAGUUUAUAGAAAUGUGAAACUCGAAGAAAUGACCAUAGCAGACAGCUUUUAUAUCUUUUAGACAAAGAAACAAUAAAUUUGUGAAGAACUGACAAGCCAAAGAAACUUGGGCUUGGGUACUAAUUAGUGAAGGAUCUAAGCGGAGUGUGUUUACACAGCCUUCUUGGCUCGAUAAGGGUGUUUCUCUACUUCCUGGUGCAGGGAGGGUACCUUUCAUGUGGGAGAUUUACUUUCUGCCUUCAGGGGACAAAGAAGAGGCAAGAGCGUUCAUCUUGCACUGGUGGUUCCUCAAGUCUUUAAUUCAAACUCAUGAAUAUGCCACAUUGGCAUAUUUUGGGGUAGCCUGCCCUGAACCCCAACCUGACACUUGCCUCAUGAGGCUGCUCUGAGCAGUGGAGGAGAUCAUGGCUUGCAUGUGACAAGCCCUGGACCCACUCCAUGUGCAAGCCUCCUUCGUUAUCCAAGGUGGAUCAGCUCCAGGACCCCCUGUGGAUAUCAAAAUCUGAGACUCUCAGGUCCCUUAUAUAAUAAUGGUGUCAUAUUUGCAUGGAACCUAUACACAUCCUCCUGUAUUCUGUAUCAUCUCUAGGUUACUUAUAACACCUAGCGCAACGUAAAUGCUAUGUAAGAAGUUGCUGGUGUGCAGC